GAGUACUUUGCGUUGGAGGAACAAACG
rnacentral:piRNA from 1 species